CCUACGGGACGCAGCAGUGGGGAAUAUUGCACAAUGGGGGGAACCCUGAUGCAGCGACGCCGCGUGGGUGAAGAAGUCAUUCGUGACGUAAAGCCCUAUCAGCAGGGAAGAAAAUGACGGUACCUGACUAAGAAGCCCCGGCUAACUACGUGCCAGCAGCCGCGGUAAUACGUAGGGGGCAAGCGUUAUCCGGAUUUACUGGGUGUAAAGGGUGCGUAGGCGGCUUGGCAAGUCAGUAGUGAAAUCCAUGGGCUUAACCCAUGAACUGCUAUUGAAACUGUCGAGCUUGAGUGAAGUAGAGGUAG
rnacentral:rRNA from 1 species